rnacentral:rRNA from 1 species
GACGAACGCUGGCGGCGUGCCUAAUACAUGCCAGUUGAGCGAUGAAGAUUGGUGCUUGCACCAAUUUGAAGAGCAGCGAACGGGGGAGUAACGCGUGGGGAAUCUGCCUUUGAGCGGGGGACAACAUUUGGAAACGAAUGCUAAUACCGCAUAACAACUUUAAACAUAAGUUUUAAGUUUGAAAGAUGCAAUUGCAUCACUCAAAGAUGAUCCCGCGUUGUAUUAGCUAGUUGGUGAGGUAAAGGCUCACCAAGGCGAUGAUACAUAGCCGACCUGAGAGGGUGAUCUGCCACAUUGGGACUGAGACACGGCCCAAACUCCUACGGGAGGCAGCAGUAGGGAAUCUUCGGCAAUGGACGAAAGUCUGACCGAGCAACGCCGCGUGAGUGAAGAAGGUUUUCGGAUCGUAAAACUCUGUUGGUAGAGAAGAACGUUGGUGAGAGUGGAAAGCUCAUCAAGUGACGGUAACUACCCAGAAAGGGACGGCUAACUACGUG